rnacentral:rRNA from 1 species
UACGGGGGGAGCAAGCGUUGUUCGGAUUUACUGGGCGUAAAGGGCGCGUAGGCGGCAAUUCAAGUCAUCUGUGAAAUCUCCGGGCUUAACCCGGAACGGUCAGGUGAUACUGUUUUGCUAGAGUGCGGAAGGGGCAAUCGGAAUUCUUGGUGUAGCGGUGAAAUGCUGUAGAUAUCAAGAGGAACACCUGAGGUGAAGACGGGUUGCUGGGCCGACACUGACGCUGACAGCGCGAAAGCCAGGGGAGCAAACGGG